GGGUAUAGCUCAGUGGUAGAGUGCAUGCCUAGCAUGCACAAGGUCCUGGGUUCAAUCCCCAGUACUGCCA
rnacentral:tRNA from 1 species